CCCUUAGAUGUUCUGGGCCGCACGCGUGCUACACUGAACGGUUCAAUGGGUAAGGUAGUUCGAAAGCAUGACCUAAUCUCGAAAUCCGUUCGUGCUGGGGAUAGAAGCUUGCAAUUAUCCUUCUUGAACGAGGAAUACCUUGUAAGCGUGAGUCAUCAUCUCACGCUGAAUACGUCCCUGCCCUUUGUACACACCGCCCGUCGCUCCUACCGAUUGAGUGUUCCGGUGAGGCUUUGGGAGAAUGGCCUCAACAUGAGUUUAUCGUGUUUUGCCGUUUGAACUUAGUCAAACCUUAUCACUUAGAGGAAGGAGAAGUCGUAACA
rnacentral:rRNA from 1 species